AGCCUGCAGAGUGGAGGAAAUUAACAGGCGUUAGAGAACAAGUGAAUAGAAAAUGUACAGUAAAAACGGAAUGCAGGUCCUUGUGCUUGCGAGGCAUGCGGCAGAACCACUGAGCUAAAUCCCUAGCUCCAUACCCGAACUAAGCUUCACAGAGCUGUCCCUGCAUGAUGUUCCAGAGCUCCUGCAUGGAUGGAAUCUGCACUGGAGACUUAGCAACCACUUAGCAAUGGACACUAGGUGCCCAGACAUUCUGCAGCUUCUGGUUUGUUUUGUUUUGUUAUUUUUGCAGACCAGGGAUUGAACCUAGGACCUUAACACUGCACUACAUCCCAGUUCUUUUUUAUUCUAAGACAGGAUCUCAGGAAAUUGCUAAGUUGCCCAGGCUGGGCUUGAACUCUCAAUCCUUCUCCUCAGCCUCCUACUGUGUGGAAUCACAGGUGGGCACACACACACCAGUCCCCUGUGGUUCUGUGUGUGCACUGUGGUGGUAAACCUCAGGUCCACAGACUGUUAUCUUUGUCAACGUCCAGAACAUUCUUGGUCUCCUCGAAGGUCCGGCCCGGAGGCCUGGGAUCAGGGCCCGCGACCUUGUGCCCCUUCUAAGUGAUCUGCAUGUAUUCUAUGAUCUGUUCCUUCUGUUAGCUUGUGUGCAAAUGAGGAAACUGAGGCACAGAGAAACUGAACCAUGUGCCCAGCCAAAAUUAUACACCCGGAGUGUAGACCGGGCCUGCAGCUCAGUGGCCGGAAGCCAGGACCAGGGCCUCCCACACCCGGGGGCCAGACCCUGCCUAGCCGAUCUUGAGGGAGGUGCGGCCCAGACUCCCUUGCAGGCUUCUGGGCUCCAUGGGCUGGGCCCGUCCUGGUCCCGAGGGUGGAAAUUCUACAGCCUGAACCGCUCAGCACAGCCUGCGCCCUGCACCGGGCUGCCCCACGCCCCGUGGUCCCCAGGACUCACCCAGGUGGCGGAUGUGCCACAGGGGGCUGAUGGUGGAGUGUCUCCCGUGGAACACGAUCAGCAUGGGUGACGUAGCCACGCCGCCCCCCAGGGAGCUGCUGUACAGGUUUUCCCUGCAGAUGGGAGAGAGAGCCUUUGGCUCUGAGCGCCCCCAGGCUCACAGAAAGCACCUAACAGUUCUUUCAAAAGACGUAAGACAUUGUUUGUACAGUCGAACUUUGGGCCUUUCAUUUUUCCAAAAUUCUUACUUUGAAAAUUGUCAAGCCAGGUGUGGUGGUGCAUACCUGUGAUCUCAGCACUUAGGCUGAGGCAGGAGGAUUGCCUGGAGUUCAAGGCCAGACUGAACAACUUACCGAGAUCCUGUCUCAAAAGAAAAAAAAAAAAUCGUCUAACUGUGGACUCCCAUAGAUACCUCUUAGAGUCACAAUGUUAAUAUUUUGGUAAUUUAACUCUCAGGCUUUUUUCUGUGGUAGACGUGGAAGAUCAAAUUAUGAUCCUGCAGGGCCGGGGAUGUAGCUUAGUGGUUCUGCCGCCUGCCUCACAAGCGCAAGGUCCCGAGUUCGAUCCCUGGUACCAAAAAAACAAAGUUAUGAUCCUGCAUUAUUUGGAAUAGCUUUCCUUAAAAUUCAAGAUUAUGAUGGUAUCAGAAUAUCCAGAUAGGAAAGAUCAAUAGGAAAUACAAUGACGUGAUAGUCAUGGUUGUAUUAGUUAUUUUAUGUUCUUUUUUAAAACUUUCAGAAUGAAAAA